CACCGCGGUUAUACGAGAGGCCCAAGUUGAUAGGUGCCGGCGUAAAGCGUGGUUAAGGUUAAUAUAAACUAGAGCCGAACACCAUCAAAGCUGUUAUACGCACCCGAUAGUAUGAAGAUCCACCACGAAAGUGGCUCUAACCACACCCCUGAAUCCACGAAAGCUAUAAAA
rnacentral:rRNA from 1 species